rnacentral:rRNA from 1 species
CAAGGGGUAUUGCCCCAGUACGGCGAGUGAAGCGGCAACAGCUCAAAUUUGAAAUCUGGCCCCCCGGCCCGAGUUGUAAUUUGCAGAGGAUGCUUUUGGUGAGGCACCUGCCGAGUCCCCUGGAAUGGGGCGCCACAGAGGGUGAGAGCCCCGUAUGGCAGGACGCCGAGCCUCUGUAAAGCUCCUUCGACGAGUCGAGUAGUUUGGGAAUGCUGCUCUAAAUGGGAGGUAAAUUUCUUCUAAAGCUAAAUACCGGCCAGAGACCGAUAGCGCACAAGUAGAGUGAUCGAAAGAUGAAAAGCACUUUGAAAAGAGGGUUAAAAAGUACGUGAAAUUGUUGAAAGGGAAGCGCUUGUGACCAGACUUGCGCCGGGCGGAUCAUCCAGCGUUCUCGCUGGUGCACUCCGCCCGGCUCAGGCCAGCAUCGGUUUUCGCCGGGGGACAAAAGCUUCGGGAACGUGGCUCCCUUCGGGGAGUGUUAUAGCCCGCUGCAUAAUACCCCGGCGGGGACCGAGGACCGCGCUUCGGCAAGGAUGCUGGCGUAAUGGUCAUCAGCGACCCGUCUUGAAACACGGACCCAAA